CACGUAGGGUGCGAGCGUUGUCCGGAAUUAUUUGGGCGUAAAGAGCUCGUAGGCGGUGUGUCGCGUCGGCCGUGAAAACCUGCAGCUUAACUGUGGGCGUGCGGUCGAUACGGGCAUCACUGGAGUUUCGGCAGGGGAGACUGGAAUUCCUGGUGUAGCGGUGAAAUGCGUAGAUAUCGUGAGGAAGACCGGUGGCGAAGGCGGAUC
rnacentral:rRNA from 1 species